rnacentral:rRNA from 1 species
AUUGAACGCUGGCGGCAGGCUUAACACAUGCAAGUCGAACGAGUGGCGGACGGGUGAGUCAUGCUUGGGAAUCUGGCUUAUGGAGGGGGAUAACGACGGGAAACUGUCGCUAAUACCGCGUACCAUAGGAUGAGCCCAAGUGGGCUUAGGUUGUUGGUGGGGUAAUGGCCUACCAAGCCGACGAUCUCUAGCUGGUCUGAGAGGAUGACCGGCCACACCGGGACUGAGACACGGCCCGAACUCCUACGGUAGGCAGCAGUGGGGAAUAUUGCGCAAGGGGGGCAACCCUGACGCAGCCAUGCCGCGUGAAUGAAGAAGGCCUUCGGGUUGUAAAGUUCUUUCAGCGGGGAGGCGUUACCCGCAGAGGAAGCACCGGCUAACUCCGUGCCAGCAGCCGCGGUAAUUC